CAGCCGCCGCGGUAAUACGGAGGGUGCAAGCGUUAAUCGGAAUUACUGGGGGUAAAGCGUGCGUAGGCGGUUUGUUAAGUCUGUUGUGAAAUCCCCGGGCUCAACCUGGGAAUGGCAAUGGAUACUGGCAAGCUAGAGUGUGUCAGAGGAUGGUGGAAUUCCCGGUGUAGCGGUGAAAUGCGUAGAGAUCGGGAGGAACAUCAGUGGCGAAGGCGGCCAUCUGGGACAACACUGACGCUCAGGUGCGAAAGCGUGGGGAGCAAACAGGAUUAGAUACCCGGGUAGUCCCUGUCUCUUAUAU
rnacentral:rRNA from 1 species